ensembl:antisense Sox5os2 SRY (sex determining region Y)-box 5, opposite strand 2
AGAGAGCACCAGCCAGGCAUGCAGGCGGGCAUGCACAGCCACCCAGGAAAAUGAAGGUCCAUGGAGUUGUGAAAAGUAAAGGAGAGAGAAUAUGAUUACUGGGAAUCGUUAGAGCCAUUUCCUCCACUCUCUUCAUGUUAUUUACCCCUUUUCAUCUGAGGAGCCUGAGACACAGGUGAUGAGCAAUGAACCCAACACUGUGGCCGGUAUCGCUCCAAAGUCAAGUCCGCAUCUCCCGCAUGGAAUCUUACAGUUAACUCGGCCUCGCAAGGAAACCCCGCUAGGAAGAAUUUCCCACAGUUCCUCAUCGCAGUUCCUAAGUUUAGAUCAACAAGAAAAGACCACUGCCCAGCAGUUGAGAUUCCUAAGAACCCAACUUACAGAAGCAGGGCCCCCUGGCAUGGUGGAGCCAGGCUGAAGCGUUCCAUUGUCAGAUUGCUCUUCACGGCAGAUCAAUGGCAUUGCUGUAGUGUGCUAUCUCUUCCAGAGAGCAAGAAAACAGGUGCCCGGAGGCUACCAAGACCACACGAAGAACCUGUGUUACUCCGUGGGAUGAUAGCUUUUUCUAGUAAGAAGUUCUGAAAAAUGACACAUGCCAUCCCUGCAAAUACUGGAUGUAGAAAUGAC